CCAAUUCACAUAAAAUGCAAGGUGUGGCUGCUCUGACAUGGUGCUUCAGUAGUGGCCGAGAGGAGACUAUGUCUAUGCUCCAGGCUCUGACCUAUGAACAUCUGAACGGUUAGUAGCCUAACACU
ensembl:snoRNA LOC120094519 small nucleolar RNA SNORA17